rnacentral:tRNA from 1 species
GCGUCCGUAGCUCAACUGGUCAACGGUAAAUCGAAUAGGUUCGUGCGUGCCUUGGAGCGCCAGCCCUCAAGCCGAAGGGAUCGAGACCAAAUCUUCCCCGUUUCGGUGGCUGAUGCCGCGUUCGCGGCCCUCCUGGGACCGCACACCGCCAAAAGAUGAGCUCAAGAGCUCCAGGUUUAGGGCCUGGAAGAUGCGGGUUCGAAUCCCGUCGGGCGCA